CUCCCAAAACCUCCCUCUAUUCGUCUCCAAAACCCCUCUAGGGUCUCAACAAUCAAAAUCUCUAGGGUUUCUACUGCGGCCUCUAUCGAUCAGCGAUGUCUCUGCGUGCAAGCGAGAGAACGGAGGUCCGCCGGAAUCGGUACAAGUUCGCCGUCGACGCCGACGAGGGCCGCCGGCGACGAGAGGACAACAUGGUGGAGAUUCGAAAGAGCAAGCGAGAGGAGAAUCUGAUGAAGAAGCGGAGAGAGGGAAUGCAAUCGCAAGCGUUCUCUCAGGUCUCGGCGAUCGAGAAGAAGUUGGAGAGCUUGGCGGUGAUGAUGGCGGGAGUUUAUUCGGAGGAUCCGAAGGUGCAGCUCGAGGCGACGACUCAGUUCAGACAAUUGCUGUCGAUAGAAAGAAGCCCACCAAUAGAGGAGGUCAUCCAGUCUGGUGCUGUUCCUCGUUUCGUUGAGUUUCUUAUUAGGGAGGAAUUCCCCCAACUUCAGUUCGAAGCUGCUUGGGCACUUACAAACAUAGCCUCUGGUACAUCAGAGGACACCCAAGUCGUGAUUGAUCUUGGGGCUGUUCCAAUAUUCAUAAAGCUGCUUGGUUCCCAAAGUGAUGAUGUCCGUGAGCAGGCGUUAUGGGCAUUGGGCAAUAUAGCUGGUGAUUCACCAAAAUGCCGUGAUCUUGUCCUUGCAAAUGGGGCACUGAACGCCCUCCUGGCUCAGUUAAAUGAGUAUUCCAAGCUCUCAAUGUUGCGGAAUGCAACAUGGACUUUGUCCAAUUUCUGCAGGUGGAAGCCUCAACCAGCUUUUGCGCAGACACGACCAGCUGUUCUGGCCCUUGCAUAUCUUAUUCAAUUGAAUGAUGACGAAGUUCUGACUGAUGCAUGUUGGGCACUUUCUUACUUGUCUGAUGGCACAAAUGACAAAAUCCAAGCAGUAAUUGAUGCUGGCAUUUGCCCUCGGCUUGUGGAACUGCUUUUGUUUCAUUCACAUGUGGUGCUUAUUCCUGCUCUGCGUACUGUGGGUAACUUAGUUACUGGGGAUGAUGUACAGACGCAGCUCAUUAUCGAUCAUCAAAUACUUCCUUGUCUUCACCAACUUUUAAUGAACUCCCACAAGAAAAGCAUCAAGAAAGAAGCUUGCUGGACCAUUUCAAACAUAACAGCUGGAAACAAGGAUCAGAUACAGGCUGUGAUUGAUGCAAAUAUUGUCGGUCCUCUUGUUCAAUUACUGCACACUGCAGAGUUUGAUAUUAAAAAAGAAGCAGCAUGGGCAAUCUCAAACGCUACAUCGGGUGGUACACAUGAUCAACUAAAGUUUCUAGUGAGCCAAGGGUGUAUUAGACCCUUGUGUGAUCUUCUCGCUUGCCCAGAUCCAGUAAUUGUUAGUGUUUGUCUUGAAGGACUUGAAAACAUUCUGAGAGUUGGUGAAGCUGAGAAAAACAAAGGAAUCACUGGAGGAGUGAAUCCCUAUGUUCAGCUUAUUGGUGACGCUGAGGGUGUAGAUAAGAUUGAGAAUUUGCAGAGCCAUGAUAACAAUGAAAUAUAUGAGAAGGCUGUGAAGAUCCUUGAAACCUAUUGGUUGGAGGAAGAUGAAGCUGAAAUCACGUCCCAAGGGGAUGAUGCUCGAACUGGAUUCAACUUUGGCCACUUGGAGAUUCAACUUCCUUCUGGCGGGUUCAACUUUGGUUGAAUGACAUUGUGAAGUUUAACGUUUGGAGUAGAAAAAUCCGAAGUUAAGACUAUGGGGGAAGUUCAAUAGAUAUCAAGAUUUGGGGGUUCUUUGUUCUUGAGAUGCUGAAGGAUCUCCUCGCUAAGAGUUGUCACGUCGUUUUGGGUCCUGUAUUAGGUGUGGGUCAAGUUUGGGGGUCGGGUGUGUUGGGGUUUGGUACAUAAAAAAGAUGAUGAAUGCCGCUGAUGGAUUGUUAGUUGAGCUGAAGGGGUGCAUGAAUGAUGCGUAUCCUGCUCCAAAAGUUCAUCUACUUUCAGUUCAUAACUGUUUGAAAGAAAGUGGUGAAACAAUUUGAAGUCAAAUAUGUUGUUACAGGUGACUACGAGCUUUUUUUUUCUGAGGUCCUAUAAAAGAUUUUUAUUCAUGGUUACUA